AUUGAACGCUGGCGGCAGGCUUAACACAUGCAAGUCGAACGAUGACUAACUAGCUUGCUAGUUAUGAUUAGUGGCGGACGGGUGAGUAACAUUUAGGAAUCUGCCUAGUAGUGGGGGAUAGCUCGGGGAAACUCGAAUUAAUACCGCAUACGACCUACGGGUGAAAGGGGGCGCAAGCUCUUGCUAUUAGAUGAGCCUAAAUCAGAUUAGCUAGUUGGUGGGGUAAAGGCCCACCAAGGCGACGAUCUGUAACUGGUCUGAGAGGAUGAUCAGUCACACCGGAACUGAGACACGGUCCGGACUCCUACGGGAGGCAGCAGUGGGGAAUAUUGGACAAUGGGGGAAACCCUGAUCCAGCCAUGCCGCGUGUGUGAAGAAGGCCUUUUGGUUGUAAAGCACUUUAAGCAGGGAGGAGAGGCUAAUGGUUAAUACCCAUUAGAUUAGACGUUACCUGCAGAAUAAGCACCGGCUAACUCUGUGCCAGCAGCCGCGGUAAUACAGAGGGUGCGAGCGUUAAUCGGAAUUACUGGGCGUAAAGCGAGUGUAGGUGGCUCAUUAAGUCACAUGUGAAAUCCCCGGGCUUAACCUGGGAACUGCAUGUGAUACUGGUGGUGCUAGAAUAUGUGAGAGGGAAGUAGAAUUCCAGGUGUAGCGGUGAAAUGCGUAGAGAUCUGGAGGAAUACCGAUGGCGAAGGCAGCUUCCUGGCAUAAUAUUGACACUGAGAUUCGAAAGCGUGGGUAGCAAACAGGAUUAGAUACCCUGGUAGUCCACGCCGUAAACGAUGUCUACUAGCCGUUGGGGUCCUUGAGACUUUAGUGGCGCAGUUAACGCGAUAAGUAGACCGCCUGGGGAGUACGGCCGCAAGGUUAAAACUCAAAUGAAUUGACGGGGGCCCGCACAAGCGGUGGAGCAUGUGGUUUAAUUCGAUGCAACGCGAAGAACCUUACCUGGUCUUGACAUAGUGAGAAUCCUGCAGAGAUGCGGGAGUGCCUUCGGGAAUUCACAUACAGGUGCUGCAUGGCUGUCGUCAGCUCGUGUCGUGAGAUGUUGGGUUAAGUCCCGCAACGAGCGCAACCCUUUUCCUUAUUUGCCAGCGGGUUAAGCCGGGAACUUUAAGGAUACUGCCAGUGACAAACUGGAGGAAGGCGGGGACGACGUCAAGUCAUCAUGGCCCUUACGACCAGGGCUACACACGUGCUACAAUGGUAGGUACAGAGGGUUGCUACACAGCGAUGUGAUGCUAAUCUCAAAAAGCCUAUCGUAGUCCGGAUUGGAGUCUGCAACUCGACUCCAUGAAGUCGGAAUCGCUAGUAAUCGCAGAUCAGAAUGCUGCGGUGAAUACGUUCCCGGGCCU
rnacentral:rRNA from 1 species